UGAGAAAAGCAGAAGUGAGAGCUUCUCGCCUUGCGACUUAGGUUGUCUGGCCCUACAUGUCAAAUCCUUUUGGAUAUAAUGUGUGCGGGCCUGAUUUAUCAGGCUCGCUUUCGUUUUUCUCU
rfam:Streptococcus uberis strain CAIM 1894 contig_007, whole genome shotgun sequence.